UCAGGACUGUCUAUGAAAAAAUUUUCAUCGAAAUUAGUCAAAAAUUGAAGCCACGAUACAACAACCUUGACUAUCUGCAGUGAAAACCGUAGGCUAAUGCAGUAGAGUGGCGAUAUUGAAAUUCAUUGUAGCGAAUUAAGCCACGAUUUUCAUUCCGUGACAAGCGAUUUUGUGGCUCUUGACCAUAAAAAGUGCUGGGGUUGAAUGAGCUGAAAAAAAUCAUUACCUGAAGCGCAAAUGAGAACAGUAUUGCUGAGAAUUUCCGAGAGCAUGAUGACCUUGACAACAGUCUCCAUACAAUUUCCCAGCAGAAUCAAGUGAUUAUGUCGUUAUGUGUAAGACAGCACUGAACAUGAAUGGAACGUAUCCUGCAUAUGUAGCUGCUGCGAAGACUGUAGCGAUGACGUUGAAGUAGUAGUAAAGUAAAUAAACACUGCGGGACAUCGUGAUUGGAAUCCAACAGGAAGGUGCCAGUAUGAGAUGUCUUAUCAAUGAACUAUUGUUUUCAGAAAUUUCACUUUUCAUGGUCGGAGGAUCAGACCAAACUGUUAAUAUCAUAGCUGAAGCUAUUGGUGCAGUUUGCAAUACAAAAGCCAAACGUCCCCAAUACGCAUAACGUCGCAUGAUAUUCAAUGAUUUUUUCCCCCUAAUAUUUAACCAAUCAUGAAUUGUCGAUGAAAUAAUGUAACGCAUUUGUUGUUGAUGAAAUGAAAGAGUAAGAAUUUUGAUCACAGCUAUGGAAAAUACCAUGAGACCGGUCAUGGUAUCCACUAAAUCGGUUAUUCCUCCACAAGAACCCUUAGUUAGUAACUGGGUCAGUGAUAAUGCAUUGUCAAUCAUCUGCAUCAAGUUUGGUAUCAUGACAACAGUAUAUGAUAUAUCAUGGGCUUUCUUACCAGCGUUAGAACAAUACUACCAGUUUGCAAGAUACGUAAAACUUCAUUGUCCUGCCAUGGCCAGAUGCCUAAUGCUUUACACCACCAUUUCGAAAAAACGAGAGCAUAAUGCACAUCCAAGUUCCACUGCAAAUGUAAUUCUUUAUCGUAUUCCAUGGGUAUAGAUGUUUCUGCAAACGUAUUUUCUGAAGAACAACCAGACGAUAUACAAUUUUUAUAUAACAGCACAUACACUGUACUGCUGGUAUGUUCACUACUCCUUCACAUGUUCAUUAUUCAUCUGGACAGCACUCGAGUUUUGUCUGAGUAUCGACCACUAUCGUAUAACAUAUUUAUGAUAGUUUUUACAUAUUUAGAUUCCCUGGGUAAAGAAUAGAAAACAAGUGUGCAAGCACCAUCAGUGGUUGUGCACCGAACAUCCCUUAUUGUAUUAAUUAUUUAGCUUCAUGCAAUUUGGAUUAAAUUUAUAUCCAACCAUUGACCAAAUCUUAUGGGUUAGUCAUGAUAAUGCUCACUUUUUUAGUUCACUUGAAUGAAUAAUUUAAUACUACUGCUGCUGGGCGUAUUUUUUUGCAUCAAUAAAUCAUGCAUAAUUACGUCUCACAAAUAUAUGAGGAUAUUACCAUGCACUGAAGAAGUACUGCGUGGAAGAGGGGAGUGUCGCAGAGCAGUCGAAGGAGGAACCUUAACUUAGUUCAAUGUUGCUGUUACCGAGCGUUAUCCAAACGUCAAAGAUUUUAGGAGAUCAACCCUUCGAGUGUUUUAUUUGCUGUAAAAAGGACGGUGGAGAAAAUACUGGAGGUAUUAAUUACUAUUAAUUAAUGACUAUCACAAUAAUAACAUAUUCCUCAAUAAUUAUUCUGGGAUUAAUAAAUAUCUGUGAUACCCGUUUGUAAACCCGUGCUCCAGCAAAUUCUUACCUCUCCCCCCUAACCCGUUACCAUACACUCAUGACUACAUCACGAAGGGCACCACGGGACGAGACGUCACUGACGAUUCGUCGAGGAAUCCUCCCCCCAACAAGAAGAACAAAGAGGAAAGUGAGACGCAUGCCACGACGAGCAUUUCCAUUUGGACCUCCCCCCCUCCCCCGAAACCUGUCGUUUAGAAAAGCUGUAUUAAUUAAGAAGUUUGAAGAAGAAGAAUUGGAGAGGAGAAGAAACAGGUGACGAAGGAGGAUAAUUGUCUGCAGGAGAAUUGUGGUUGAUGAAGAAUAACCUGUGGAGAAGACGGUUACGUGGCUGCGAGGAGGUGUGAAGUUGGACACCUGAAGUUUUUUUGUCUCGUGGAGUUGGUUCAGAACUUGGAAAAUCCCCAGAACUUGCCCUCACUUUCAACAUAAUCAUAUUGUAAGGGAAAAUUUCCGAACAUUAGCGACUCGGUUGAGAGAUAUUAAUUAUAAUAUUUCUCACGGAUAGAUCACGGUAUGUAGGAUCAGAAAUAAAAUGUGC